GACGUAGGGCGCGAGCGUUGUCCGGAUUUAUUGGGCGUAAAGAGCUCGUAGGCGGCUUGUCGCGUCGUUCGUGAAAACCUGCAGCUCAACUGCAGGCUUGCGGUCGAUACGGGCAGGCUAGAGUUCGGUAGGGGAGACUGGAAUUCCUGGUGUAGCGGUGAAAUGCGCAGAUAUCAGGAGGAACACCGGUGGCGAAGGCGGCAUCCUGGACCGGUAUUGACGCUGAGGCGCGAAAGCUAGGGGAGCAAACGGG
rnacentral:rRNA from 1 species